CGCAACGCCCGCGCGUGCGAAGGUCUGAGCAAGCUCAGCUCCAAUGUAGCCGCCGCCGAGCACAAUCAUCGAGCGCGGUAGCUCCUUCAGCGACAACGCCGUCGUGCUGUCGAGAGGCGCGAUCUCUGCGAUGCCUGGGAUGGUGGGUAGCGCAGGCCGCGCGCCCGUCGCAAUGAUGAUGCGAUCUGAGACGAGGCGCUGACCGUCCAC
rnacentral:misc_RNA from 1 species